rnacentral:rRNA from 1 species
AGAGUUUGAUCAUGGCUCAGAAUGAACGCUGGCGGCGUGCUUAACACAUGCAAGUCGAACGGUAACAGGAGAAGCUUGCUUCUUGCUGACGAGUGGCGCACGGGUGAGUAAUAUAUAGGUAAUGUGCCCCUUAGUCUGGGAUAGCCACUGGAAACGGUGAUUAAUACCGGAUACUCCUUCUUGUUUGAUGCAAGUCGGGAAAGGUUUUUCGCUAAGGGAUCGGCCUAUAUUGUAUCAGCUAGUUGGUGAGGUAAUGGCUCACCAAGGCGAUGACACAUAGCGGGUUUGAGAGGAUGAUCCGCCACACUGGUACUGAGACACGGACCAGACUCCUACGGGAGGCAGCAGUGAGGAAUAUUGCACAAUGGGGGAAACCCUGAUGCAGCAACGCCGCGUGGAGGAUGACGCAUUUCGGUGUGUAAACUCCUUUUAUCAGAGAAGAAAAUGACGGUAUCUGAUGAAUAAGCUCCGGCUAACUCCGUGCCAGCAGCCGCGGUAAUACGGAGGGAGCAAGCGUUAUUCGGAAUCACUGGGCGUAAAGGACGCGUAGGCGGGUUUUUAAGUCAGGUGUGAAAUCCUAUGGCUCAACCAUAGAACUGCACUUGAAACUGGGGACCUAGAGUAUGGAAGGGGCAGGUGGAAUUAGUGGUGUAGGGGUAAAAUCCGUAGAUAUCACUAGGAAUACCGAAAGCGAAGGCGACCUGCUGGGACAUUACUGACGCUGAGGCGUGAAAGCGUGGGGGAGCAAACAGGAUUAGAUACCCUGGUAGUCCACGCCCUAAACGAUGAAUGCUAGUCGUCGGGGAGCUUGUCUCUUCGGUGAUGCACUUAACAGAUUAAGCAUUCCGCCUGGGGAGUACGGUCGCAAGAUUAAAACUCAAAGGAAUAGACGGGGACCCGCACAAGUGGUGGAGCAUGUGGUUUAAUUCGAAGAUACGCGAAGAACCUUACCUAGCCUUGACAUUG